rnacentral:rRNA from 1 species
GGGCCCGCACAAGCGGUGGAGCAUGUGGUUUAAUUCGAUGAUACGCGAGGAACCUUACCAAGGCUUAAAUGUAAAACGACCAGUUGAGAAAUCAACUUUUUUCGAACGGUUUACAAGGUGCUGCAUGGUUGUCGUCAGCUCGUGCCGUGAGGUGUCGGGUUAAGUCCCAUAACGAGCGCAACCCCUAUCUUUAGUUACCAGCGAGUAAUGUCGGGAACUCUAAAGAAACUGCCCGUGCAAACGGAGAGGAAGGUGGGGAUGACGUCAAAUCAUCACGGCCCUUAUGUCUUGGGCUACACACGUGCUACAAUGGUUAUUACAAUGAGAUGCAAACUGGUGACAGUAAGCUAAUCUAUAAAAAUAAUCCCAGUUCGGAUCGGAGUCUGCAACUCGACUCUGUGAAGUUGGAAUCGCUAGUAA